rnacentral:tRNA from 1 species
GCCGAUGUAGCUCAGUUGGCAGAGCAGCUGAUUUGUAAUCAGCAGGUCGUGGGUUCAAAUCCCUCCGUCGGCU